rnacentral:rRNA from 1 species
UUGAACGCUGGCGGCAUGCUUUACACAUGCAAGUCGAACGGUAACAGGGAGCUUGCUCCGCUGACGAGUGGCGAACGGGUGAGUAAUGCAUCGGUACGUACCCAGUCGUGGGGGAUAACGUAGCGAAAGUUACGCUAAUACCGCAUACGUCCUGAGGGAGAAAGCGGGGGACCGUAAGGCCUCGCGCGAUUGGAGCGGCCGAUGUCGGAUUAGCUAGUUGGUGGGGUAAAGGCCUACCAAGGCGACGAUCCGUAGCGGGUCUGAGAGGAUGAUCCGCCACACUGGGACUGAGACACGGCCCAGACUCCUACGGGAGGCAGCAGUGGGGAAUUUUGGACAAUGGGGGCAACCCUGAUCCAGCCAUGCCGCGUGAGUGAAGAAGGCCUUCGGGUUGUAAAGCUCUUUCAGACGGAAAGAAAACGCAUCGGUGAAUACCCGGUGUGGAUGACGGUACUGUCAGAAGAAGCACCGGCUAACUACGU